UUAAGAUGGAGGCUUGCACACUCAGGGUAGGUGGUCAAAGCCCUCUUCUAUUGUUGUGGCACUGGUGAGUUUGCACGGAGUAGCAGCCUGGAGAGGCGGCCGACGGUGCACUUGUGAAGCAACAAUAAACACGUCUCAUGCCAACACGCCAAGAUGAGCUUCACCCAAUCCCUCUCUCUGUAUAUAUGCAAGCUUGUGUGAUGUGCUCUGCUUCCUCCUCCCUUUUUUUAAUUAAUGGAUCUCUCACUGAGCAGAGCAUGUUGUUUAGGUUGGCAGCAUAAAUGAUAUAGCUAAGUUAUCUUCACCAAAGACAGAUUUUGGUAUGUGCAUUUGGGCCUUUCUGCCCUUCUUGUUCAAGAAAACAAGAUCCUGAUGAAUGUAAUGAUGUUGGACAAAGGGCGAUUUCUCAUGAUUGGGAGAGCCUUGCUGAUUCAUUUCGACCACAGUACCAGAACCCAGGUGAAUGCAGUUGACUCUUGAAGAUCGAGGGCACCAAAGACAUAUGCCGAGGCCGUCCAUCGACAACCUACCCAAGGUCCGGAUUCAUCGAGGAGUACAACAGGAGACGCUGUCGGCUGCCUGCAGGAAUUAGGAAUUUCUUCACGAUGCCACUUCCCACCUCGAAAGGCGUCGAUGUCGGCGAUCCAGUUUAUGUUCUGCAUGCAUCACUUCUUCAAAUGAAACCCCAACCUGAGCAAGGUCAUGGUAGAUUAGAUGAUAAUGUAUCUGUCUUAUGUGCGUGUGUGUCAGAACAAGUGAUCUAUUAGUUGAGCAUUAUGUAAAUUAGACUUGGCAA